GGGUUGUGAGGUUAAGCGACUAAGCGUACACGGUGGAUGCCCUGGCAGUCAGAGGCGAUGAAGGGCGUGCUAAUCUGCGAUAAGCGCCGGUAAGGUGAUAUGAACCGUUAUAACCGGCGAUACCCGAAUGGGGAAACCCAGUGUGAUUCGUCACACUAUCAUUAACUGAAUCCAUAGGUUAAUGAGGCGAACCGGGGGAACUGAAACAUCUAAGUACCCCGAGGAAAAGAAAUCAACCGAGAUUCCCCCAGUAGCGGCGAGCGAACGGGGAGGAGCCCAGAGCCUGAAUCAGCAUGUGUGUUAGUGGAAGCGUCUGGAAAGGCGCGCGAUACAGGGUGACAGCCCCGUACACAAAAGCGCAUGUGCUGUGAGCUCGAUGAGUAGGGCGGGACACGUGGUAUCCUGUCUGAAUAUGGGGGGACCAUCCUCCAAGGCUAAAUACUCCUGACUGACCGAUAGUGAACCAGUACCGUGAGGGAAAGGCGAAAAGAACCCCGGCGAGGGGAGUGAAAAAGAACCUGAAACCGUGUACGUACAAGCAGUGGGAGCCCCACCACUAAGCCAGUGGUGAACUCCACAUCCGCAUCCUUUGCUGAGGAUACGGUUAACGGAGCGAAAGCGACGUUCAACCGCAAAACAAGCAGAGGGGGCUUAGUGGUGGGGUGACUGCGUACCUUUUGUAUAAUGGGUCAGCGACUUAUAUUCUGUAGCAAGGUUAACCGAAUAGGGGAGCCGGAGGGAAACCGAGUCUUAAUUGGGCGUUAAGUUGCAGGGUAUAGACCCGAAACCCGGUGAUCUAGCCAUGGGCAGGUUGAAGGUUGGGUAACACUAACUGGAGGACCGAACCGACUAAUGUUGAAAAAUUAGCGGAUGACCUGUGGCUGGGGGUGAAAGGCCAAUCAAACCGGGAGAUAGCUGGUUCUCCCCGAAAGCUAUUUAGGUAGCGCCUCGUGAAUUCAUCUCCGGGGGUAGAGCACUGUUUCGGCUAGGGGGCCAUCCCGGCUUACCAACCCGAUGCAAACUGCGAAUACCGGAGAAUGUUAUCACGGGAGACACACGGCGGGUGCUAACGUCCGUCGUGAAGAGGGAAACAACCCAGACCGCCAGCUAAGGUCCCAAAGUCAUGGUUAAGUGGGAAACGAUGUGGGAAGGCCCAGACAGCCAGGAUGUUGGCUUAGAAGCAGCCAUCAUUUAAAGAAAGCGUAAUAGCUCACUGGUCGAGUCGGCCUGCGCGGAAGAUGUAACGGGGCUAAACCAUGCACCGAAGCUGCGGCAGCGAACGUAUCACUUAAAGCGAUUCAGCGGGUUACGAUUGACGGAGCGAAGCGACGUCAAAGCGUAUACAAAGUCGAGUCGGUUUAAGGAUACGUUCGUUGGGUAGGGGAGCGUUCUGUAAGCCCGUGAAGGUGGCCUGUGAGGGUUGCUGGAGGUAUCAGAAGUGCGAAUGCUGACAUAAGUAACGAUAAAGCGGGUGAAAAGCCCGCUCGCCGGAAGACCAAGGGUUCCUGUCCAACGUUAAUCGGGGCAGGGUGAGUCGACCCCUAAGGCGAGGCCGAAAGGCGUAGUCGAUGGGAAACGGGUUAAUAUUCCCGUACUUGGUGUUACUGCGAAGGGGGGACGGAGAAGGCUAUGUUGGCCGGGCGACGGUUGUCCCGGUUUAAGCGUGUAGGUGUGUGUUCCAGGUAAAUCCGGUUCACUUUAACACUGAGGCGUGAUGACGAGGCACUACGGUGCUGAAGCAACAAAUGCCCUGCUUCCAGGAAAAGCCUCUAAGCAUCAGGUAACAUCAAAUCGUACCCCAAACCGACACAGGUGGUCAGGUAGAGAAUACCAAGGCGCUUGAGAGAACUCGGGUGAAGGAACUAGGCAAAAUGGUGCCGUAACUUCGGGAGAAGGCACGCUGACACGUAGGUGAAGUGAUUUACUCACGGAGCUGAAGUCAGUCGAAGAUACCAGCUGGCUGCAACUGUUUAUUAAAAACACAGCACUGUGCAAACACGAAAGUGGACGUAUACGGUGUGACGCCUGCCCGGUGCCGGAAGGUUAAUUGAUGGGGUCAGCGCAAGCGAAGCUCCUGAUCGAAGCCCCGGUAAACGGCGGCCGUAACUAUAACGGUCCUAAGGUAGCGAAAUUCCUUGUCGGGUAAGUUCCGACCUGCACGAAUGGCGUAAUGAUGGCCAGGCUGUCUCCACCCGAGACUCAGUGAAAUUGAACUCGCUGUGAAGAUGCAGUGUACCCGCGGCAAGACGGAAAGACCCCGUGAACCUUUACUAUAGCUUGACACUGAACAUUGAGCCUUGAUGUGUAGGAUAGGUGGGAGGCUUUGAAGUGUGGACGCCAGUCUGCAUGGAGCCGACCUUGAAAUACCACCCUUUAAUGUUUGAUGUUCUAACGUGGACCCGUAAUCCGGGUUGCGGACAGUGUCUGGUGGGUAGUUUGACUGGGGCGGUCUCCUCCUAAAGAGUAACGGAGGAGCACGAAGGUUGGCUAAUCUGGUCGGACAUCAGGAGGUUAGUGCAAUGGCAUAAGCCAGCUUGACUGCGAGCGUGACGGCGCGAGCAGGUGCGAAAGCAGGUCAUAGUGAUCCGGUGGUUCUGAAUGGAAGGGCCAUCGCUCAACGGAUAAAAGGUACUCCGGGGAUAACAGGCUGAUACCGCCCAAGAGUUCAUAUCGACGGCGGUGUUUGGCACCUCGAUGUCGGCUCAUCACAUCCCGGGCUGAAGUAGGUCCCAAGGGUAUGGCUGUUCGCCAUUUAAAGUGGUACGCGAGCUGGGUUUAGAACGUCGUGAGACAGUUCGGUCCCUAUCUGCCGUGGGCGCUGGAGAACUGAGGGGGGCUGCUCCUAGUACGAGAGGACCGGAGUGGACGCAUCACUGGUGUUCGGGUUGUCAUGCCAAUGGCACUGCCCGGUAGCUAAAUGCGGAAGAGAUAAGUGCUGAAAGCAUCUAAGCACGAAACUUGCCCCGAGAUGAGUUCUCCCUGAGACUUAGAGUCUCCUGAAGGAACGUUGAAGACGACGACGUUGAUAGGCCGGGUGUGUAAGCGCAGCGAUGCGUUGAGCUAACCGGUACUAAUGAACCGUGAGGCUUAACCUUACAACGCCGAAG
rnacentral:rRNA from 1 species